CUCCAUGCUUCCAUGGGACCUGCCAACGUGGUAGUCGCCCUUCCUACUCAUGGUAGAGCAACCGACUCUUGCCUCUUGGCAAAGCUCCCACCAUUCAAUUGGGGCGAGUCUCUGACUUGGGCAAGUGACAGAU